GAUGAAGAACGCAGCGAAAUGCGAUAAGUAAUGUGAAUUGCAGAAUUCAGUGAAUCAUCGAAUCUUUGAACGCACCUUGCGCCCUUUGGCCAUUCCGAAGGGCAUGCCUGUUUGAGUAUCAUGAACACCUCAACUCUUCAUGGUUUUCCAUGAUGAGCUUGGACUUUGGGGGUCUUGCUGGCCUGUGGGUCGGCUCCUCUCAAAUGAAUCAGCUUGCCGGUUUUUGGUGGGCAUCACAGGUGUGAUAACUAUCUACGCUUGUGGUUUUCCACCAGGGUAACCUUCAGCAGUGGAGGUUCACUGGAGCUCAUAGAUGUCUCUCCUCAGUGAGGACAGCCCUUUGAAUGUUUGAUCUCAAAUCAGGUAGGACUACCCGCUGAACUUAAGCAUAUCAAUAAGCGGAGGA
rnacentral:misc_RNA from 1 species